UUUCCGUAGGUGAACCUGCGGAAGGAUCAUUAUCAUGUAAUUCAGUCCCCUUGGCUGUGUUAUAUAUAUACCCACUCCGUGUACCUUCUCCUGUUGCUUCCGCUGGGUGUGUAAUUCGCCCGGCGGAAGGGUAAAAAUAACCUCUGAGUAUUGAUGAAAUCUCUGUCUGAACCGAAUAGAAAGAAAAAUGUUAAAACUUUCAGCAACGGAUCUCUUGGUUCUC
rnacentral:misc_RNA from 1 species